UGGCUGGCCAUGUCGGCGGUAUACAAAGAGGCUCCUGGGACUGGACUGGGAGCCGCUGGAGGAGCAGGUACCAGGCGUGGAGAUGUGCCUGUCACAGGUAUGAUCGUGUGUUUGCAGUUACCUACUGACAAACUUUGAUGGAAUGAGUCAGGAAACUAUUUUCCUCCUUGUUCGGACCCUGCUACCAUGACCUUGGACAAGUUACUUUCUACUACAUGAGGAAAGCUGCUUCUUGUCACCAGACUGUCUCACCUCCCAGGGCAGGCCAGCCUUUGAUUUUCCAUAUUAUUGGGAGAGACCCUGGCUCAGAGAAAGAACACUGCAUAAUAAAUUAUGGGAUGUCAGUCUUCGGCAUACGUUAUUUGAACUUUUGGGCAACAGAUUCACCUUAUCAAUUCUGUUUUGAUAAAGCUAGUACCAAAAGUAUCCCAUACACAGCACAUCCUGGCUGACUAGGAGGAGAAGCUGAGAACCAAAACAAACAAAAAAUUGGCAAUCAGAAAGAGAUAAACCGGUGUGAAAAUGAUCGAGGGGUCCUGUGAAGUUAAUAAGGCAGUAUCAGAGUACUUUGUUCCGCUUAGAGGAAAACGGAUGCACACUCUACAACUGUCCAAGUCCUGGAAACCAGGGA